rnacentral:rRNA from 1 species
UACGUAGGGUGCAAGCGUUGUCCGGAAUUAUUGGGCGUAGAGAGCUCGUAGGCGGUUUGUCGCGUCGAAUGUGAAAACCCGGGGCUCAACCCCGGGCCUGCAUUCGAUACGGGCAGACUAGAGUUCGGUAGGGGAGUCUGGAAUUCCUGGUGUAGCGGUGAAAUGCGCAGAUAUCAGGAGGAACACCGGUGGCGAAGGCGGGACUCUGGGCCGAUACUGACGCUGAGGAGCGAAAGCGUGGGGAGCAAACAGG